UCUGUCUGUUCUGUUUACAUUGUUGUAUGUUUCGUUGUGGCCUAAAUUAAAAGUAGGAUUACUAAAGUUGAUAUUGGUGUUGACAUUCAUUCCUUUCAUAGCUAAACACCUUAGGAUAGCAUUGUAAUAAUAUAAAGCACUUAAUUCAAUUAUUUCUACCAUUGUAACUGCAAUUAACCUAAACUGCAUCCUGGUCGUGCAGCCUGCGCACCUGCAGAUUUGUCUUCAGUGCAGUUGGCGGGUUCGGCAGCGGUGUCCCGUGGACGCUGCUUGCGCUGUCUCGGCGGCUGCUGCGUGGUCUGUGCGGUUGGCGGCUGGAUUGCAUACCGCUCGUUCAACUGAAGAAGAGAGGUUGGGAUUGUCCGAGGGGUCAAUGCCUGAUGACCAAGUCAAAGAAGUUAGAAAGUGUUUCUUCUUAACAAUCUGUGGACUGUAAGCCCAACUUGGAAGAAGCUGAGAAUGACAGUGGACCUGAUGCUGAUGAGACAUAUUACCCACUGACCGACCACAUAACAAUGAUGACAAGAAAGAAAGAGGAGACGGCAUCCCAGUCUCCCUCGCUCCGCACCAUGGCUUGUAUCAGUGCCGGACGCGAGAGGGCGCCGUCGCCAACCACAUCCCUGAGGAGACAGCGGUGCUCAGCCCACGCAGGGCAGACCGCAAGCGUAUGUUCCACCGUGUCCUCCAGGCGGUCUUCGCAGUGAUGACACCCGGGUGAUUCCUCUCGCCCAAUCAGAAACAGGAACCUACCGAAACUCCCGUAUCCGAACAGCACCGACACCGUGGUCAGAACCAUCUGUCAUGAUGGCGAGGCGACUGCUGUGAACCGGAUGUGAGAGUGAUGCUUUGGCGGCAUUUCUCAAAGGCUGUGGAGCUGGCUGGAGAAUGGUUUCUGGUUUCGGGGAGGCGCUAUAUCGUGGUGUUCCCGCAAACAGCAGGCCUUGUCCACAGCCGAUGCGGAGUACAUGGCCAUGGGAAGCGCGGCGCAAAAAGCUCUCUAGCUACGGCGGCUGCAGGCUGAAGUUUGGCGCGGCUCCGACACCCUGCUCAUUUAUACUGCGACAACCAGAGCGCCAUCAAGUUAUCCGCUAAUGAUUUUUACUUACCUCGCUCAUAUAGAUAUUAAAUACCGCUUUAUUAAAGAUUAUAUAAUAAAUAAUAACUUAAAGUUUUAUUAUAUUAAGGGUUGUGAAAAUGUAUCAGAUAUUUUAACCAAGGGAACUACUGUAGAAAACAUAUGUAUUGUGUCACUAAUAUGGGUUUGGGUUCCGGAGAGGACGUAAGAAAUAUUGGUAGAAUUGGAACACAACCGGAGUAAUUCCAAUAA